rnacentral:rRNA from 1 species
UACGGGGGGGGCAAGCGUUGUUCGGAAUUACUGGGCGUAAAGGGCCAGUAGGCGGCCAACUAAGUCCGACGUGAAAUCCCAAGGCUUAACCUUGGAACUGCGUCGGAUACUGGAUGGCUUGAGACCGGGAGAGGUGAGUGGAAUUCCCAGUGUAGCGGUGAAAUGCGUAGAUAUUGGGAGGAACACCAGUGGCGAAAGCGGCUCUCUGGAACGGUACUGACGCUGAGACGCGAAAGCGUGGGGAGCGAACAGG